CGGUGCCGGAGUGAAGAUGUUAAGUUCACUGCCUGGGGAGUACGGUCGCAAGGCUGAAACUUAAAGGAAUUGGCGGGGGAGCACUGCAACGGGAGGAGCGUGCGGUUUAAUUGGAUUCAACGCCGGAAAACUCACCAGGGCCGACUGUUAUAUGAAGACCAGCGUAAUGAGCUUGUCGGAUUUUCAGAGAGGUGGUGCAUGGCCGUCGUCAGUUCGUACUGUAAAGCGUUCUGUUAAGUCAGAUAACGAACGAGACCCUCAUCUCUAUUUGCUACCCGUCUCUCCGGAGGCGGCGCACUAUAGGGAGACCGCUGGUGUUAAACCAGAGGAAGGCGAGGGCAACGACAGGUCAGUAUGCCCCGAAUGUCCUGGGCUACACGCGCGCUACAAAGGACGGGACAAUGGGAAGCCAGGCCGAGAGGCCGAGCUAACCCGAAACCCGUUCGUAGUUCGGAUUGAGGGCUGUAACUCGCCCUCAUGAAGCUGGAUUCCGUAGUAAUCGUGUUUCAAUAUAGCACGGUGAAUAUGCCCCUGCUCCUUGCACACACCGCCCGUCAAACCAUCUUAGUUGGGGGUGGGUGAGGCUGCGCUUUAUGGCGUAUUCGAGCCUGCCUUCGACAAGGAGGGUUAAGUCGUAACAAGGUAUCUGUAGGUGAACCUGCAGAAU
rnacentral:rRNA from 1 species